AAAACAUACAAAUGAUAAAGAUAACUCAAAAAUGCACAUACAUCAACCUCUAUAAUUGUGUUAAGUUAUGCUUGAAAUUUGGAAAUAACAUGCAACAGUUAGAAAUUGGCCAAAUUUAAUUAUAAGAUGCAUGAACUCCCCCUUCCCUAAAAACAAAUUCCUUCUAGUGACAUUUAUUAUCAUCAUCAAUAACAGAUGAAUGACCACUCCAGAUAUUAGAGAAAAU
rnacentral:misc_RNA from 1 species